rnacentral:rRNA from 1 species
GUCGAACGAACUACCCCAUGCGAUAAAGUGCUUGCAUUUUAUCAAUUGGAUUUGUAGUUAGUGGCGGACGGGUGAGUAACACGUGGGUUACCUACCACACAGUAUGGAAUAACUAUUGGAAACGAUAGCUAAUACCGAAUAUGACCUUCGGGUUGAAAGGAGCGUUUGCUUCGCUGUGUGAUGGGCCUGCGGCGUAUUAGCUAGUUGGUAAGGUAAAGGCUUACCAAGGCGACGAUACGUAGCCGGACUGAGAGGUCGAUCGGCCACAUUGGGACUGAGACACGGCCCAAACUUCUACGGGAGGCAGCAGUAGGGAAUUUUCCGCAAUGGACGAAAGUCUGACGGAGCAAUGCCGCGUGAGUGAUGAAGGUUUUCGAAUCGUAAAGCUCUGUCGUAAGGGAAGAAUAGCAAAAGGAGGAAAUGCCUUUUGUCUGACGGUACCUUACCAGAAAGCCACGGCUAACUACGUGCCAGCAGCCGCGGUAAUACGUAGGUGGCAAGCGUUAUCCGGAAUUAUUGGGCGUAAAGCGCAUGUAGGCGGCUUUUUAAGUCUGAUGUGAAAGCCAGUGGCUCAACCACUGAAUUGCAUUGGAUACUGGAAAGCUAGAAUCUUGGAGAGGUAAGUGGAAUUUCAUGUGUAGCGGUGGAAUGCGUAGAUAUAUGAAGGAACACCAAUGGCGAAGCAGCUUACUGGACAAGUAUUGACGCUGAGAUGCGAAAGUGUGGGUAGCAAACAGGAUUAGAUACCCUGGUAGUCCACACCGUAAACGAUGAGUGCUAGGUAUUGGGAUAACUCA